rnacentral:lncRNA from 1 species
GAAAAAUGGAAAUUUUCCAACUUUUUGCUUGUUUGAUGCCAAAAUUUUUCCAUGAAAUUCAUUCCGCUUAACUUAAAAUUGAAUGUGUUUCUUUUUUCUUUUUUUAUUAUUAAAUCAUAAAAUCACACCAGUAUUGCAAAACGUUGGAGCAGAAGCAGAAGCACAAGUAGAAGCAGAAGAAUAUCAAAAUCAGAUUUAGCAUCCAGUAUAUUCUAUCGUUGCCCUUUGCAAAAUGCCAAAACCCAUUCGGCCAUUACCUCAUAAAUCGUUAUCCUUGGAAGAAAGAACAACCUAAUUCAUCCAUUCCACUGAAGCAGAAGAACCUGAUUCAGCCAUCGCUAUUGACCGACUGUCUACUCCAGAUUUCGCUAGCCAGUUCUCCACUGCCAGUCCGCCGCGCCACCACUUCAUUAUCCAAAGUUCAACCCCUGACCCAAAACCCAAAGGUCAGUAACAGUUUUACAACUUUUGAUUUGCUUCCCAUUUGGUCUGUUAGUUUUGGAGAUUUGCUUCCGUUGACUGUUAGUCUAUUGUUGUAUGCAUGUAUCUCAUCAUCUGAUUCAUCUGGAAUAUGAAAAUAUAUUUUUGUGAUUUGUGAACCUUUGGCCUGUGGCUGUGAUGGAUCAUUCUUGUGAUUUGUGAAUUGUGAUUUUUGAUUUAUGAGAUUUAUUUUGUGAUUUGUUAGAUAAACAACAUUAUUCUUAUGGAAUUAUGAUUGUGGGAACUUCAUCAAACAUUCAAACAGGGGUAGUAUAAUUAGGCUAUUGUGAAAUCUUUAUGCUUAAUUUUGUAGCGCUUUUACUUAUAG